AAGGCAUGAUGGGGACAUUUUUGAAUGAGGUCCUUUAAUCUUUCCCAUGACUCAUGGAACCGCUCACCAUCUUGUUGCGAAAAUGUAAUACCCUGCUCGUUCUU
rnacentral:snoRNA from 1 species